UACGUAGGGGGCAAGCGUUGUCCGGAAUCAUUGGGCGUAAAGCGCGUGUAGGCGGUUCGAUAAGUCUGCUGUGAAAGUCCAAGGCUCAACCUUGGGAUGCCGGUGGAUACUGUCGGGCUAGAGUGCGGAAGAAGCGAGUGGAAUUCCUGGUGUAACGGUGAAAUGCGCAGAUAUCAGGAGGAACACCAAUUGCGAAGGCAGCUCGCUGGGACGUAACUGACGCUGAGACGCGAAAGCGUGGGGAGCAAACAGG
rnacentral:rRNA from 1 species